GAUGAACGCUGACGGCGUGCCUAAUACAUGCAAGUCGAGCGAACGGACGAGAAGCUUGCUUCUCUGAUGUUGGCGGCGGACGGGUGAGUAACACGUGGAUAACCUACCUAUAAGACUGGGAUAACUUCGGGAAACCGGAGCUAAUACCGGAUAAUAUUUUGAACCGCAUGGUUCAAAAGUGAAAGACGGUCUUGCUGUCACUUAUAGAUGGAUCCGCGCUGCAUUAGCUAGUUGGUAAGGUAACGGCUUACCAAGGCAACGAUGCAUAGCCGACCUGAGAGGGUGAUCGGCCACACUGGAACUGAGACACGGUCCAGACUCCUACGGGAGGCAGCAGUAGGGAAUCUUCCGCAAUGGGCGAAAGCCUGACGGAGCAACGCCGCGUGAGUGAUGAAGGUCUUCGGAUCGUAAAACUCUGUUAUUAGGGAAGAACAUAUGUGUAAGUAACUGUGCACAUCUUGACGGUACCUAAUCAGAAAGCCACGGCUAACUACGUG
rnacentral:rRNA from 1 species